rnacentral:rRNA from 1 species
GAUGAACGCUAGCGGCAGGCCUAAUACAUGCAAGUCGAACGGGUGGUCGCAAGACCACUAGUGGCGCACGGGUGCGUAACGCGUAACCAACCUGCCCCGAUCUGGGGGAUAGCCCGCCGAAAGGCGGAUUAAUACCGCAUAUACCCGCAGCCUGGCAUCAGGCAACGGGGAAAGAUUUAUUGGAUCGGGAUGGGGUUGCGUGACAUUAGCUAGUUGGCGGGGUAAGGGCCCACCAAGGCGACGAUGUCUAGGGGACCUGAGAGGGUGAUCCCCCACACUGGCACUGAGAUACGGGCCAGACUCCUACGGGAGGCAGCAGUAGGGAAGAUUGGGCAAUGGGCGAGAGCCUGACCCAGCCAUGCCGCGUGCCGGAUGAAGGCCUUCUGGGUUGUAAACGGCUUUUCUCAGGGAAGAAAAAGGCCUUGCGAGGUACACUGACGGUACCUGAGGAAUAAGCACCGGCUAACUCCGUG